UUGCUGAGGUAAUGCGAGUACAAUGUUCAAGAAUAGAUUACAUGUAUGUUUCCCUAUAAGCAGAUAGGUUUUCACAUUGUUAUGACGCCGUAGAAUUUCAAGAGCACCAAAUGACACACAAGAUACUGUAUUCUGAAAAUCGUUUCAAAACCUGAAUGGGGCAGCUAACGAUCUACGUUACGGCACGCAAUGUUGAAACACUCAGCGAAGCCAAGGAGCUUGUAACGAGGAUUGUUGAAGACAACAAAGGUGAAGAGGUACCCGACGUAAAGCCAUUCCAUGUGUCAACAAGGAAUGACGAAGAACGUCUGCGAAAGGAACUCGACUCUCACCGGCCGUGCAAAGUCCUGUGCUGCGUCGACAACAGUGCUAGGAACAUCAUCCUGUCACCCACUGAGCCUGACGAAGCAAGCCAAGUCGUCGAUGCAGCCGAAAAAUUUUGCGCUGAUGAUGGAGUAUUUCUUCUCCUCUUUGGUCAUCAUGACAUCAGCGACGAUGGACUCUACGAUGAGGAGCACUUUGACGCAAUUCUAAAUCGCCAACCUAAACUAAGACGACUGGUGGCAAAUAAAAGAUUUUUAAGUAUGGACAGUAACUUGAACAAAGGCCAGGAGCAGGCCAUUUUGAAUUGGAUAAAAGUAGAGCCGGUUUAUUCCACAAAGGACACCGAUACCGUUAAAACCACUUCAUUCUCAUCAUUUCUUUCAAAGUUGUUUGGGCGGACACGGACAGAGACUCCUAAAAGCUAAAGUAUACUACAACCUUACAUCAAAGGGGUGAACAUUUGGGGGGGGGGGGUGUUCUAAAAGAUUUCCAAUUCCGAUGGAUAUAUUCCGGAUAGUUUUAUAUUCCAUGGCAUAACAUCUGUAAAUAUGUACUAGUAUAUGUAUAUAUGUGAAUAUGUUUUAUUUGUUCGUUGUACGACUCAAAAAACUCCGUUUCAAAGAUUUUAGAUUCAAGACUUAUUGAUCAAAGUUGGGGUGACCUCUUUGAUAUUUUCCCAGCCUAGAAGAACAAUGGAAAAGUACAUCAAAGGUGAGCAAACUCAUUGACAGGUUUGUACAUAUUACAUAAGCAAAAUCAACACUAAUAUCCAUUCCCAUGCCGUACAAACAUGUUGUAACUUGAUUUUUAUGACGACAUUCUCAAACAAGCUGUCAGCUGACGCCUUGAUGUCGGCUGAAGUAUAAAAGCAAGUAGAGAGAGCGAGCGAAGUUUGUCAGAACAGAAGACUGU